rnacentral:rRNA from 1 species
CAGCCGCCGCGGUAACGCGGAGGGGGCUAGCGUUGUUCGGAAUUACUGGGCGUAAAGCGCACGUAGGCGGCUUGGUAAGUUAGAGGUGAAAGCCUGGAGCUCAACUCCAGAAUUGCCUUUAAGACUGCCGAGCUAGCAGGUGAGAGAGGUAAGUGGAAUUCCGAGUGUAGAGGUGAAAUUCGUAGAUAUUCGGAAGAACACCAGUGGCGAAGGCGGCUUACUGGCUCAUACUGGACGCUGAGGCACGAAAGCGUGGGGAGCAAACAGGAUUAGAGACCCGCGUAGUCCCUGUCUCUUAUAC